rnacentral:tRNA from 1 species
GUCCGCUUGGGGCAAUGGUAGCGCAUUCGACCCCAGAUCGUAAGGUGGGCGUUCGAUCCGCUCAGUAGUCA